rnacentral:misc_RNA from 1 species
AUCAGGUGGUUGCGGACCAGGCUCCACAGCCUGUCCACUGAGAAGGGCGCUUGCAAGUUUCUUGAACUCCUGAACAUAAGCACUGAGUGUGUGUGGACCAAAUAAAGUGGAGGCACCUUCGUAUCUCUGCACUUCGUAUUCUUCAAAGGUGGUCACGUACUGUGAAUAAGUAUUAGUCAAACCAGCUAUAACAACAUGAACAUUGCCACUGAAAUCUUUAUUUCCACUUGUUAGCACUGUCCUCACAGCAUCUCGAAGACGCCCCCCAGCCAUUGUUGUGAA